UACAGAGGAGGCAAGCGUUAUUCGGAAUCACUGGGCUUAAAGCGCGUGUAGGCGGCUGGGCAAGCGUCCCGUGAAAUCCCACUGCUCAACGGGGAACUGCGGGGCGAACUGCCCGACUUGAGGUUGGUAGAGGUGUCCGGAACUCUAGGUGGAGCGGUGAAAUGCGUAGAUAUCUAGAGGAACGCCAGAGGCGGAAGCGGGGCACUGGGCCAAUUCUGACGCUGAGACGCGAAAGCGUGGGGAGCAAACAGG
rnacentral:rRNA from 1 species